UCGGUCGCUCGGAGAUGGUCUCGCGCCCCAUCAGCUUGUUGGCGGGGUAACGGCCCGCCAAGGCGUAGACGGGUAGCUGGUCUGAGAGGAUGGUCAGCCACACUGGCACUGAGACACUGGCCAGACUCCUACGGGAGGCUGCAGUCGAGAAUCAUCCGCAAUGGGCGCAAGCCUGACGGUGCGAUGCCGCGUGAGGGAUGACGGCCUUCGGGUUGUAAACCUCUGUCAGGAGGGACGAAGCAUGUGACGGUACCUCCAGAGGAAGCCACGGCUAACUACGUGCCAGCAGCCGCGGUAAUACGUAGGUGGCGAGCGUUAUUCGGAUUUACUGGGCGUAAAGGGUCCGCAGGGUGUCUGUCGAGUCCGGUGUGAAAAUUCACGGCUCAACCGUAAACGUGCACUGGAUACUGGCGGACUUGAGUGCACGAGGGGUGAGCGGAAUUCCCGGUGUAGCGGUGGAAUGCGUAGAUAUCGGGAAGAACACCGACGGCGAAGGCGGCUCACUGGCGUGCUACUGACCCUCUUGGACGAAAGCGUGGGUAGCGAACAGGAUUAGAUACCCUGGUAGUCCACGCUGUAAACGUUGUGCACUAGAUGUGGGCGGCGAUCCGAUCCCGUCCGUGUCCCAGCCAACGCGUUAAGUGCACCGCCUGGGGACUACGGCCGCAAGGCUAAAACUCAAAGGAAUUGACGGGGGCCCGCACAAGCGGUGGAGCAUGUGGCUCAAUUCGAGGCAACGCGAGGAACCUUACCCGGGCUUGACAUAUGACGGCCGGGCUGUGAAAGCAGCCUUUCCUUCGGGACCGUCAUACAGGUGCUGCAUGGCUGUCGUCAGCUCGUGUCGUGAGAUGUUCGGUUAAGUCCGGCAACGAGCGCAACCCGUAUCGUCAGUUACCAUCGGUUUCGGCCGGGGACUCUGGCGAGACUGCCCGUGUCAAGCGGGAGGAAGGCGCGGAUGACGUCAAGUCCGUAUGGCCCUUACGCCCGGGGCUGCACACGUGCUACAAUGGGCGGUACAGUGGGCUGCGAGGCCGCGAGGCCGAGCAAAUCCCCAACCCCGCCCUCAGUUCGGAUUGGAGUCUGCAACUCGACUCCAUGAAGUCGGAAUCGCUAGUAAAGGCGUAUCAGCCAUGGCGCAUUGAAUACGUUCCCGGGCAUUGUACACACCGCCCGUCACAUCAUGGAAG
rnacentral:rRNA from 1 species